AGUUCUUGAAAGCUGCUCACAUCCUGUGCAGGAGUCAGUCCUAGUCAGCACACAGCAUGGACAUGAAGGCCCCUGCUCAUUUCCUGGGGUUCCUGCUGCUCUGGAUUACAGGUACCAGAUGUGACAUCCAGAUGACUCAGUCUCCAUCCACUUUGUCUGCAUCUCCUGGAGACAGAGUUUCCAUCACUUGCCGGGCCAGUCAGGGCAUUAGCAAUGCCUUAAACUGGUACCAGCAGAAACCAGGGGGAGCUCCAAAGCUCCUGAUCUAUGAUGCAAAGUAUUUACAAUCCGGCAUCCCCUCCAGAUUUAGUGGCAGUGGAUCUGGGACAGAGUACACUCUCACCAUCAGUAGCCUGCAGCCUGAAGACAUUGCUAAUUAUUACUGUCAACAGUAUUAUAAUAACCCACCCACAGUGAUACAAGCCAUAACAUAAACCUCCAGGAAGCAGAAGUGUGAGCCUGGGCUGUCCCAGCUGCUUUCUUCAUGCUUCCUCUUGCCAGAGCUGUCCUAGAAUCAUAGGACAGGAAUCCUGCCCAGGCUAACCUGGACCAGUGAGCUUCUAUAUCUCAAUCUUUGGAAUAAGUGUAAUUAUAGAUGUGCGAUACUGGCACUGUGCUAAAUGUUGAAAUAUUAAUAUUACAUUCCAGACUAUAAACAUGGAAAUACUCUGACUUUAUCCAGGUUAUUUUAUUCUUGAAUAGAUAUUCACAAUGUGCACAAAGACACUUCCAAUUUAUUUCAAAACUUUUAUUUUGAGAAUUUUCAAUACUUUAUGCAUGAAUUUCAUCAGCAAGUAAAGACAGUUUGCCACUUCCUUUUUCUGCUUCAGGUCUUUUGUGCUUUUUUUCCAAUUAGUUUUAGCUUUUCUUAUUGCAUUUGGAGAACCUCAGUACAAUUUUAGGUACUGAAAGUAAUAGUGAACAUUUCAUAGUUUAAUGCAGCUUGAGUGGUAAAAUGCUAAAUAACCAUAUCAAUGAGUACAAAGUUUGUUGUAGAGUUUGCCUACUUAUUAAAACAGGUAUUUUCCAUUAUUCCUGACCUGCUGAUACGUAAUGGAUAGCUGUUGAUGCUAUUAGAAAUAUUGUUUCACAUAAAUGUAGACAGUUAUAGUUUUUCUCUUUAACUCAAGCAGAAUGAUGAAAUGCAGAGAUCAGUUAUCUAAUUUUAAAAGAGAUUUCUACUUGUGGAACAUAUUCGACUUGAUCAACAAACAUUGCCUGAGAAAAAUAAGGAAUGUGAGAGAGAGAGAGAGAGAGAGAAAAGCAAAGUAGGAGAUGGAGAUGAGUGGAAGGAGAGAAAGGGGGGGGGGUGAAAGGAGGAUAAA